rnacentral:misc_RNA from 1 species
AUAAAGAGAGUUGUAAGGUCGAUAAUUUUGAACCAGAAAACUACCCAAUCGGAAUUUAGGAAGUAUGGGACGGUAGUUACAGUUGGCUUACAUGUACCCCAAUACAGAUUCUAUGCACAGUAUAGAUCUCCUAGUAGAGGGCAUUCAUCUGUUGGAUUAUGUGGUGUCAAGGAUCAUGUAUGCCGGAGCUAUUUUUCCAGGAAGUACUCUGUUGUGUCGGCAAAUAACGCAGUAACACACCAUGCUCAACUUGCUUGGAAAAGGUUUUUCAGUAAAGGUUCUGCCAGUGGCCGUACUUUCCCCAACAUAAGCAGGAUUGCUCAAGCAGUCAGCUUGGCUUUGACACGUUCACAACUAGUUGUUCCUGGUGCUUUUGCAAUCACAUGUGGGCAGGUGGCAUGGGCACAGAGAACGUUGGCAGAAACAGACUGCUACCCGUUACCGAAUUCUUUGUACAUUCGAGCCCAAGAUGGGCAUGCUUAUGUGAUCUCAUUGGUUCUUGCCAUUGUGGAAGGUCUUAUUUUGCUAAUAAGAGCUCUAUAUUUGGGAAUUUUGUUCUCACCCAGCUUAAUUAUGGCCCCGUUUGCAGAUUGUUGUGGACCACAAUUUAGGAAAAUAUGGCUUGAGGUUGUUCAUCGCACUCUAGAAAAAGCAGGUCCAGCGUUCAUAAAAUGGGGUCAAUGGGCAGCAACACGGCCAGACUUAUUUGCUAGAGAUUUAUGCACAAAGCUAUCGGAACUACACACAAAAGCUCCUGAACAUAGCUUUGCUUACACAAGAAAAACUAUUGAAAGAGCAUUUGGUCGAAAACUUACUGAGAUUUUUGAGGGAUUUGAAGAGGUGCCUGUUGCAUCAGGAAGUAUUGCUCAAGUGCAUCGAGCCUCUUUGAGAUUUCGGUACCCUGGUCAAAAGCAGGUGAAGCCUAUGGUAGUUGCUGUAAAAGUCAGGCAUCCUGGUGUUGGUGAAUCAAUUAGGAGAGAUUUUGA